GGCGCUUUGGCGGAGUGGUUAACGCGAUGCCCUGCUAUAGUUUCGCAACUUAGCAUUCAGGCAUUUCCCUCGGGAGCGCAGGUUCGAAUCCUGCAGGCGUCG